AUAUGUUAGCUUUCAUAAGCAUGUAAUAACACAAAAUUUAUUAUUCCACAUUUUACAACUUGGUUGAUUUUAGAUCUUCUGUGGCCAGGCUGAUUUUAUUGUCCUAUAAUUCUCAAUUCUGUGAUUUGCGUUUUCUCUAGGCUUAAACAACUCUCCCAAUUGCUUAUGACUUUUCGGUUGCUACAAGGGAGUCGUUAUACACAGAUGGCUUUUAGGAGGGGAGUCAAUUUAGAUCUGAAAAAAGGAAGAAACAUUGCAUUUGGCAGAAGAUCUCUGUAUGACUACACUCUGAUGAAAAAGCUGCCUGUUUCCUUUAAUUUAUUCAGCUAGUUUCACCUCAGGUAAAUUCAAUUUCUCCUCUGUAAUGCCUGUCUGCUGUGCCACCCUGCCUUGGAGCCAGAUGAUUAUGGAUGGAAACUCCUACAAACUAUAAGAUA
ensembl:lncRNA